rnacentral:rRNA from 1 species
CAGCAGCCGCGGUAAUACGAAGGGGGCUAGCGUUGUUCGGAAUUACUGGGCGUAAAGCGCACGUAGGCGGAUCGAUCAGUCAGGGGUGAAAUCCCAGGGCUUAACCCUGGAACUGCCUUUGAUACUGUCGAUCUGGAGUAUGGAAGAGGUGAGUGGAAUUCCGAGUGUAGAGGUGAAAUUCGUAGAUAUUCGGAGGAACACCAGUGGCGAAGGCGGCUCACUGGUCCAUUACUGACGCUGAGGUGCGAAAGCGUGGGGAGCAAACAGGAUUAGAUACCCCGGUAGUCCCUGUCUCUUAUAC